AGAGUUUGAUCCUGGCUCAGGAUAAACGCUAGCGACAGGCCUAACACAUGCAAGUCGAGGGGCAUCACGUCUUCGGAUGGUGGCGACCGGCGCACGGGUGAGUAACACGUAUGCAACCUACCUGUAAGAGGGGAAUAACCCGGAGAAAUUCGGACUAACACCGCAAAUACAUAAUUACCGCAUGGUAUUUAUGUUAAAUAUUUAUAGCUUACAGAUGGGCAUGCGUAUGAUUAGCUAGUUGGUGAGGUAACGGCUCACCAAGGCAACGAUCAUUAGGGGUUCUGAGAGGAAGGUCCCCCACACUGGUACUGAGACACGGACCAGACUCCUACGGGAGGCAGCAGUGAGGAAUAUUGGUCAAUGGGCGAGAGCCUGAACCAGCCAUGUCGCGUGAAGGAAGAAUGUCCUAUGGAUUGUAAACUUCUUUUAUACAGGAAUAAAGUGUACUACGUGUAGUAUUUUGUAUGUACUGUAUGAAUAAGGAUCGGCUAACUCCGUGCCAGCAGCCGCGGUAAUACGGAGGAUCCGAGCGUUAUCCGGAUUUAUUGGGUUUAAAGGGUGCGUAGGCGGGCUAAUAAGUCAGUGGUGAAAGUUUGCAGCUUAACUGUAAAAUUGCCAUUGAAACUGUUAGUCUUGAGUACAGUAGAGGUAGGCGGAAUGUGUAGUGUAGCGGUGAAAUGCAUAGAUAUUACACAGAACACCAAUUGCGUAGGCAGCUUACUGGAGUGUCACUGACGCUGAGGCACGAUAGCGUGGGGAUCAAACAGGAUUAGAUACCCUGGUAGUCCACGCCGUAACGAUGAUUACUAACUGUUUGCGAUAUAAUGUAAGUGGUACAGAGAAAUCGUUAAGUAAUCCACCUGGGGAGUACGCCGGCACGGUGAAACUCAAUGAAUUGACGG
rnacentral:rRNA from 1 species